AAAUUGAAGAGUUUGAUCAUGGCUCAGAUUGAACGCUGGCGGCAGGCCUAACACAUGCAAGUCGAACGGUAACAGGAAGCAGCUUGCUGCUUUGCUGACGAGUGGCGGACGGGUGAGUAAUGUCUGGGAAACUGCCUGAUGGAGGGGGAUAACUACUGGAAACGGUGGCUAAUACCGCAUAACGUCGCAAGACCAAAGAGGGGGACCUUCGGGCCUCUUGCCAUCAGAUGUGCCCAGAUGGGAUUAGCUUGUUGGUGAGGUAACGGCUCACCAAGGCGACGAUCCCUAGCUGGUCUGAGAGGAUGACUAGCCACACUGGAACUGAGACACGGUCCAGACUCCUACGGGAGGCAGCAGUGGGGAAUAUUGCACAAUGGGCGCAAGCCUGAUGCAGCCAUGCCGCGUGUAUGAAGAAGGCCUUCGGGUUGUAAAGUACUUUCAGCGGGG
rnacentral:rRNA from 2 species